rnacentral:rRNA from 1 species
GACAGAGGGUGCAAACGUUGUUCGGAAUUACUGGGCGUAAAGCGAGUGUAGGCGGUCUGAAAAGUCGGAUGUGAAAGCCCCGGGCUCAACCCGGGAAGUGCAUUCGAAACUGCCAGGCUAGAGUGUCGGAGAGGUUGGUGGAAUUCUCGGUGUAGAGGUGAAAUUCGUAGAUAUCGUAAGGAAGACCAGUGGCGAAGGCGGGUCUCUGGACAGUUCUUGACGCUGAGGCACGAAGGUCAGGGGAGCAAACGGG